GACAAACGCUGGCGGCACACAUAAGACAUGCAAGUCGAACGGAAAUAUAUUUUUGUUUACAAAGAUAUAUUUUAGUGGCGGACGGGUGAGUAACGCGUGGGUAACCUGCCUUCAAGAGGGGAAUAGCACAGAGAAAUUUGUGAUAAUACCGCAUAACAUUGCACUGCUGCAUGGCAGAGCAAUCAAAGGAGUAAUCCGCUUGAAGAUGGACCCGCGUCUGAUUAGCUAGUUGGAGUGGUAAUGGCACACCAAGGCGACGAUCAGUAGCCGAACUGAGAGGUUGAUCGGCCACAUUGGGACUGAGACACGGCCCAGACUCCUACGGGAGGCAGCAGUCGGGAAUAUUGCACAAUGGGGGAAACCCUGAUGCAGUGAUGCCGCGUAUAGGAGGAAGGUUUUCGGAUUGUAAACUAUUGUCGACAGGGAAGAUGAAAAGACGGUACCUGUGGAGGAAGCCCCGGCUAACUACGUGCCAGCCGCCGCAGUAAAAC
rnacentral:rRNA from 1 species